GAAGCAAAGGCACAUGUACAAAAUUUAAUUAAAGAAAUAGUUAAAUUAAGCAUUUGAAGCAUUUAAAACCUUAGUAAAUAGCCAUGGCUGAAGCCGCAACAAGUGAAAUGCUGUACGAGUACAAGGCGGCAGGUACUAAACAUCCGGGUACAGAGCCCUCCAUGUGGCGUCUGUUGCAUCGUUUGGAUGAUCAGAUCAACAAAUAUAUUUAUAGAUGGCGAGAUAUAGGACGAUGAUGUGCCAGACGAGGAUAAGCAACCACUCAUUGAUCCCUCGCGACACGCAGAGAAAGUGAGUAUACCAGCGUUUGCCCAAUGAUGAAGCUAUCAGCAAUGUGAAGACAUCCCUUGGAUAUCGAGCCCUUGGCUGCUCCUGAGCAAAGAAUAUUCCACAAGAAUACCAUGGUGAGGUGCUACGGCCGAGCUGGGCUGAAAAAAUCAGUUCGUACUGCUGCUACAUGAUCCUCUACUGCACCAUGCUUGCCUCGGUCAAGACAGACAGUGAACGCCAGCGGAAACGCGAAAGAUGAGAGAAUAAGGCACUCGCAAAUAUUCUGCAGUAGCGGGAAUGGGAAAUCAAAUCCGAUUUCGUUAUCAUGGAGCUGAAGGAUGAGGAUCUUGCAGCUCUCCAAACACAAAUUGGCCGAUGUGGUAGCGGUGUCGUACCCCAACAUUGAGCUCAACUUUUUGGUGGUCCAGCGGGAGCGUGAACGCUCCGUCAUUGCAACCAUCCUUCCGAAGAUUUGGUCGCAGGAUGUACAUAGAUAAAA